GACGAACGCUGGCGGCGUGCUUAACACAUGCAAGUCGAACGGAAAGGCCCUGCUCUUGUGGGGUGCUCGAGUGGCGAACGGGUGAGUAACACGUGAGUAACCUGCCCUUGACUUUGGGAUAACUUCAGGAAACUGGGGCUAAUACCGGAUAGGAGCUCCUGCUGCAUGGUGGUGGUUGGAAAGUUUCGGCGGUUGGGGAUGGACUCGCGGCUUAUCAGCUUGUUGGUGGGGUAGUGGCUUACCAAGGCUUUGACGGGUAGCCGGCCUGAGAGGGUGACCGGCCACAUUGGGACUGAGAUACGGCCCAGACUCCUACGGGAGGCAGCGGUGGGGAAUAUUGCGGAAUGGGCGGAAGCCUGAUGCAGCAACGCCGCGUGCGGGAUGACGGCCUUCGGGUUGUAAACCGAUUUCGCCUGUAACAAAGCGUGAGUGACGGUAAUGGGUAAAGAAGCACCGGCUAACUACGUG
rnacentral:rRNA from 1 species